UAUGUAUAUAUAUAUAUACACACAUAUGUAGAGAGAAAGAGAGACUUUUUAAUGUUACGACCAAUAGAAGAUGAGCUACAAAUGGGCUUCCCGUCUCUCUUGGCCAUUCUUUUUCAGCGUCCGUAUUUUUUUUUUAAUAUAAUGAUUUUUAUUUUUUUUCGUUAUAGCUUGUUUACAGUGUUCUGUACAGCAUGGUGACUCAGUUACACAUACAUGUAUACAUUCUUUUUUCUCACAUUAUGCUCCAUCAUAAGUGACCAGAUAUAGUUCCUAAUGCUACACAGCAGGAUCUCACUGCUAAUCCAUUCCACAGGCCCUAAAAAAGACCAAAAAAAAAAAAAAUUGUAUGAAGGUGUCCAUGUUUUUAAAGGGAUGUGAGGGGCUUUAACAAAGAUCUCUAAGUCACUGCCAUCUCAAAGAAGAUGUCAUUCUCUUUCCCCUUCCUUCUUGUUUGAUGCCUUCUUGUAGAAAAUUCGCACUCAUCCCAAGAGUCGUGAUCAGCCUUUUUUUCCAUCACAUGGAUUGAUAGUGAUUCUGUGUGCACUGUGUCUAGUGUCAAGUUUCACUGCCUUCUAGGAACUUCGAUUUCAGAAUUGUGUGGCUUGCUCUCUUGGGCUAAUAUUCUCUCUUUAAACUUUAUUUUAUCCUGGUAAAGUUGAUGCACAGUGUUUGUGUUAGCAUCACGUUUCCAAUGAAGUGAGCUAACAUGCUUUUCGUUUCACUUUAAAGCCAAAAGUGGGGUUCUCUUGGUCUUUCCCUAUAAUUUCACUCUUAACUGAUAAUACUCAUGUGUGCAUUUAUUCAAAAAGCAUGUAUUUGGGGCCGGAGCCCAGUAUGGAGACAUGAGUCAGCCAGCAUUGAUCUUGGGCCUCUGUCAGAGGUGGAAGCAGAAUGCCUUUCCCAGGCAUGUCUGCCCAAUCCCAUCCUGUGGUGGAAGAACUGGAGGCCAUACUUGUGUAUAGCCUUCUAACCUAGCUUCUCUCCAGCUUGGCCACAGUGGAUUGGACUGGGGGGGGGGGGGGGGGGAGUGGCUGACCUGAAAUGGGCCAAUCACAGUGCUUUCCUAGGACUUCAGAAUUGAGACAGGAAAAGAGUUUGUCUCCCUCCAUAAAAAAACAGUGUGAUUGUCAAAGCUGUUUUCUGCCAAAUGGCAGCUGCUGGAAAAAUGAAGACUGAAGCAGGCUUACAGGAAAAUUGGAGAUAAAGACGGAGAGAGAUGGCCUCCUGGUUUCCCGUCACACUGAUGCUAAUGUCUCCAGUCUUUUGCUGAGUCCCAGUUAUAUUUCUGCUUAUGAAUUCAUGAAACACUCCAUACCCCUUACAAUAAAUCUCCUCUUUUGCUGAAGUUAGUACGAGUGGGCUUGUGUUGCUUACAUUCAAAAGAGCCUUAACAUGGUGGCCUGCCCAUAGCAAUCUCCGUUUAGUAAGGUCUUAGGAUACCUCCCAGUGCGGCAGGACUCUGAGUUCUUGGGCCAGGAGCUGGAAGUGUUUUACCGUCCCUCUAUCCCUGACACAUUGCUGGAACUCAAGGGAUUGAAUGUUGACUCUACAACUAAAUCGUGAAGGAAGAGCCUUGAAACCCUCAGGAGCUAACUUACCACGCUUUCUCCAGGUUCCUCAUCUGAAAGGGCCCUUAGGAAUUAUUUGGUUUAAGUGUUUUUUCUACAGAAGAGGAAGCUGAGGCCCAGAGAGGUAAAAAUCAUUUGCCCAAGGUCACACAGCUCGUUAGUAGCAGAACUGAAACUGCAAUUCAUGUCUCUAAGCUCUGAAGCCGGUAUUCUUUCUACUACCCUGUGGUACUCCCUUCCCGUUGGACCAGCUUCCAUUGACCUCAAUGGAUAAUACAGCCAAAAGCCCCCCAAGUCAGCCUCGCCUCUUUAAAACUUCCUCAGUAGGAGUUCACAAGUCAGCUGUCAUGCAGAAAAGCCCUUGAAAAGGAACCCUGCGGUGUUGCUCAUGGCUGCGCUUGGCUCCCACAGAUACUAUUCCAGGACGAGUGGAGGAGGAGCCCCCCAAGCCUUGUGUGUCCUGAGCAGACCCGACAUGUGGUGACCGAGACAACUCCCAGAAGGGCUUGCUGGUUUUAUUGGCCAGUGAGAUGGGCUUUUUCCUCGGCCCUUGCCAGUCAUAGGAAUAAAUGAAGAAUCACUUACCCCACCACUGAUGAACAGAAGCAUUAUGUGAAAGGCAUAUCUGAGUGAAACCUGGGAGGACCUUAAAGAAAAUAAAUUGAUCUGCUAAUCAAGAGAAGCAAAGAAACAAAUUUGCAUUAAAAAGAAAGGAAAAGAGAGUUCCCUCAUGUGGGUUAAGGGUCUGGCAUUGUCACUGCUGUGGUUCUGGCUACAGAACCCUGGCCCAGGAAUGUCUACAUGCUGGAAAAAAAGGCAAGGGAAUGAUGAAGAAUUCAGGAAGGCGGCUACAGUCCUACAUGUAGGGUGGGGAGAGGCAGAGGUCUAAAUUGGGAGAGGACCGUAACACUAGAAGUAAAUUAUUGCCAAAGUACUGGCUUGUGUAUUGGGGGUGAUGAGUAGGGGGUUCAUGUGUGUUUUUAGUAUUAUUAAAAAUAAAUAAAUGAACAAACUACUAAAAGAGGAGACACAUAUUGGACCCAUGGUGAGUAUGUCAUGAACCAAGGAUUCUGAAUAAUCUAAUUCUGUGUAAACAAGUUCCAUGAACAAGAAAGAAAAUGGAAAAGAAAGAGUAAUUAUGGUGUCAAAAUAACGUCUUUGUUGGGAGUUCCUGUUAUGGCUCAGCGGGUUAAGAAUACAACUAGUAUCCAUGAGGAUGUGGGUUCAAUCCCUGGCCUUGCUCAGUGAUCUGGCACUGCCACAAGCUGUGGCAUAGGUCACAGAUCCAGUUUGGGUCCUUCAUUGUGGCUGUGGCAUAGGCCAGCAGCUGCAGCUCUGAUUUGACCCCUGGCCUGGGAACUUCCAUAUGCUGCAGGUGUGGCCCAAAAAGAAGAGAAAGGAAAAGAACAACAGCAACAAAAUAAUGUGCUUGUUUCUCUCAAACUAGAAAGCAUUUUAUGGCAUAUCCAAUAUUUUUGUUUUGCUAUUAUUCUACCUAUUGUGAAAAUGACUUUGUCAUUGUCAGGUAGAAAAUAAAAGUCUCUUUAAUUUGUUUAAUACUUGAGUUAAGCUAUACAUGCUAAUGAAUGAGUGUCAGCCUUUAUAGAAUAUUUUAUAAGAAGCAGUAAUUUCUUGCUUACAUUCAAUACUAAGACGCUCUAUGAUAAACGUGGCUUCCUGUGUGUGGCUUACAAUAUCAAGUUGACAUUCUAAAACUUCAGUUUCAGUUGUGAAAUAAUUGAGGGCAGACUUUUUCAGGUCCCGCAAUGUUUAUCAAAUGGACAAGAAUGCGUGUUCUCAGACUUUCUGAAACAGAGUUCAAGAAGCAAACAAAACUAGGAAGGAAAACAAGAAAAAAAUAAAACUGAUUAAGAAAGUUGGAGAUGAGUUUUGAAAAGCAACGAAGCUGCCUUGUUAAUGCUUUACAUUUUAUUGGUGGUCGAUUGCCUGCCACUUGAUGAAAUGAGACCCCAUGUCCCAUAAUCCACCCUAGAAAUCACUGCUUAAAAACAUUAACAUAGGUAAAACAGAUCUGGUGAAAUGUUAACAUCUGGGGACUGCUGAUGAAGGAAAUAUGGGGAUUCUUUGUGAUAUUUCUGCAACUUUUCUGUAAGCCUGAAAUUUUUUCAAAAUAAUUUUAUAAGCAAAAUUUCAAUAUGGACAUAGAAAUGCCAAAGUAGCAAGACUGGCAAUCAAUCUGAAAGCUUCAUUCAAAGACUUAGACAUCAGUAAUCAAGUAUUAUUUUUAUAAAGAUAAAAGACCAGCUGCUUAUAAGAAAAUGUAAGAGAAAUUAUAGACCUGAGCUUAAAUGAUUACCCUAGGGUUAUGCACUGUUAACUGCAAAACCGUAAGCCAGGAUCCAGGUAGAAGCUGCUAUUCUUCAUUUCAUGAGAUAUUUACUUCCAGGUAAAUAAAAUAAAAUCAGCAGAAACGAUAGGAUAGAGUUGGAGGAAAGGGCCAGCAGAAAAGGCUGUUAGGUGCCUCAAAAGAAAAGACACUGCAUAUGACCACUAAACAACUCAGGUCCAAGAUGGGCACCCUACUGAGAAAAUGCUAACUUUCUAAAAUAGUUUCUCUCACUGAUGUUUGAACACAAGUUCAAGGGGUAGUUGGUGGUGGUGGUGGUUAGUUUUGUUUUUUAAAGUACAUUGAGGGAAAAACAAUUUAUCUCCUAAUAAUAACAGAAUUGAGACCUCUUUGCUCAACCACCUUGGAAUUAAUAUGAGAAUUGUCAUUUUGUUACCUAGUUCUUUGUGAAAGUGGUUCUCCAUCAAUAAAUAUGAGAUUUGAUUCAGAAAGAAAGAAAAGAAACUUGUAACUACCUUUCAUAGAAGAAACAGUGUUUCUCUUUUUCUGAACAAUUCUAAGGAGAAAGGAAAUAUAGAAUUUCAUGUUCUCAAUUCUGCUAAAGUUAUGAAUCAUCACACCUUUGCUGACAGUUUCUCAUUGUAAGGGCUUUAAGAUGCCCACAUGGACCAGGCCCAUUGGUGGGAUUUGAUGUGCCCACUUCUUAUCCAUGUGGCUAAGCAAAAUAGACUCAAAUCACCUGGCGCAGUCUCUCCUCCACCAUCACCCCCCCCCCCCGCACACACUCUUAAGUUUCUUUAUAUCGAGUAAUUUUCAAAAGGAGGAACAGUAGCUAGAAGGAAGCCAUAUAUGUGAAGGGAAAUCAUGUGGCAGUAAAAUCUAAAGGCAUCUGCAAUGUGUAAAGAGAUAGUCUUUUUUCUUUCUCAUUUUUCCUACAGUCACUGUCAGGGAGGUGAACCUGAUUAACAAGGAAGAUUUGUAGCCUGUGCUUGAAGAUCACAUGCAUCGCCAAGCUCGAGAUGAGAACAUGAGAUGACUCAGUGCAAAUCUUUGCCACAACUGGAACCAAGAGCACGUGUGGGACUCUGAGGAGGGCCUUGUCCUCCCCCUGUGCCUGAGUCACGAUCCUCAUGAAUGGACCACUCACCAUGCUGGACGUGGGAGAGUGUGGGUUUCUGUGGGGGAGUGUGUUCUGUAAAAUGGAAAUAUAAGAGAGCCAAACUCAGAAUCAUUUGAAGCCCGGUGAAAAGGAAUCUUAGGUUUUGUGUUUCCUGCCUUGGUAGAAAGAGAUCAGUCAGAGAAAAAAAGUUCAUAUCAAGAAUUUUUUUUUCCUUCAAAACCUGAAACAAACCAACCAUAAGUAAAACAGAGAAUUUCAAGCUUCAACU
rnacentral:lncRNA from 1 species